CCAACAGGUCUUAAAUGGAUAGCAGCAGCAACUCUGGUGCUAAUACAUGCGAUUGUUUCUCCAGAUGUGAAUUAUGGAGGAAAAGUUGACCUCAUCAGAGGCACGCCAUUCGACUGAGUGACCUAUCAGCUUGUACUUAGGGUCUUUACCUAGGUAGGCUAUCACGGGUAACGGGCGGUUACCGUCGGACUGCCGGAGAAGGCGCCUGAGAGAUAGCGACUAUAUCCACGGGUAGCAGCAGGCGCGAAACUUUCCCACUCGAGACUUUCGGAGGAGGUAAUGACCAGUUCCAUUGGUGCCUUUUGGUACUGUGGAUAGGGGUACGGUUUUCCACCGUACCGAAACCUAGCAGAGGGCCAGUCUGGUGCCAGCAGCUGCGGUAAUUCCAGCUCUGCGAGUUUGCUCCCAUAUUGUUGCAGUUAAAACGCCCGUAGUCUGAAUUGGCCAGCAAUGGUCGUACGUAUUUUUACGUUCACUGUGAACAAAUCAGGACGCUUAGAGUAUGGCCACAUGAAUGACUCAGCGCAGUAUGAAGUCUUUGUUUUCUUCCGAAAACAAGCUCAAUGAGAGCCAUCGGGGGUAGAUCUAUCUCAUGACGAGUGGUGGAAUACUUUGACUCAUGAGAGAGAAGCUGAGGCGAAGGCGUCUACCUAGAGGGUUUCUGUCGAUCAAGGGCGAGAGUAGGAGUAUCCAACAGGAUUAGAGACCCUGGUAGUUCCUACCUUAAACGAUGCCGACAGGAGUUUGUCAUUUGUUAAUGGCAGAAUCUUUGGAGAAAUCAUAGUUCUUGGGCUCUGGGGGAACUACGACCGCAAGGCUGAAACUUGAAGGAAUUGACGGAAGGGCACACCAGGGGUGGAGCCUGUGGCUUAAUUUGAAUCAACACGGGGGAACUUACCAGGACCAGAUGUUUUUUAUGACUGA
rnacentral:ncRNA from 2 species